rnacentral:sRNA from 1 species
AGAGGGCGUCUUCACGCAGGCACCGAGAAGCUCCCACUAGUGCAUGCCUUAAUGGUGCCGCUCUUGUCUGCGUCUACGCUUGGGGCCUUGGCUUCUGACUUGGGGAGUGUACAGCUCUGCCCGACGGCAACCCAGCUUGGGAAGAGAAGCCCCAGCGUGGGCCGGGGCUCAAGGCGCAGGGAGGCCGAGUCCGGCACGGACGCAGGCGGCUCCGGGCGGGCUCAGCACCCCCAGGCACCGUCUCCUAGUGACCGCGGCGCUCGCGGGCCUGGCGGCCGUUGUCCAGGCGACUGCGCAGCGCGGGCACCCCCGCGGCCCCUCCCCUGGGCGCGCGCGCGACCUGGGUGCCAUGGCGGCGGCGGCGGUGACAGGCCAGCGGCCUGAGACUGCGGCGGCCGAGGAGGCCUCGAGGCCGCAGUGGGCGCCGCCAGACCACUGCCAGGCUCAGGUGGCGGCCGGGCUGGGCGACGGCGAGGACGCACCGGUGCGGCCGCUGUGCAAGCCCCGCGGCAUCUGCUCGCGCGCCUACUUCCUGGUGCUGAUGGUGUUCGUGCACCUGUACCUGGGUAACGUGCUGGCGCUGCUGCUCUUCGUGCACUACAGCAACGGCGACGAAAGCAGCGAUCCUGGGCCCCAGCACCGUGCCCAGGGCCCCGGGCCCGAGCCCACCUUAGGUCCCCUCACCCGGUUGGAGGGCAUCAAGGUGGGGCACGAGCGUAAGGUCCAGCUGGUCACCGACAGGGAUCACUUCAUCCGAACCCUCAGCCUCAAGCCGCUGCUCUUCGAAAUCCCCAGCUUCCUGACUGAUGAAGAGUGUCGGCUCAUCAUCCAUCUGGCGCAGAUGAAGGGGUUACAGCGCAGCCAGAUCCUGCCCACUGAAGAGUAUGAAGAGGCAAUGAGCACUAUGCAGGUCAGCCAGCUGGACCUCUUCCAGCUGCUGGACCAGAACCGUGAUGGGCACCUGCAGCUCCGCGAGGUUCUGGCCCAGACUCGCCUGGGAAAUGGAUGGUGGAUGACUCCAGAGAGCAUUCAGGAGAUGUACGCCGCGAUCAAGGCCGACCCUGAUGGUGACGGAGUGCUGAGUCUGCAGGAGUUCUCCAACAUGGACCUUCGGGACUUCCACAAGUACAUGAGGAGCCACAAGGCAGAGUCCAGUGAGCUGGUGCGGAACAGCCACCAUACCUGGCUCUACCAGGGUGAGGGUGCCCACCACGUCAUGCGUGCCAUCCGCCAGAGGGUGCUGCGCCUCACUCGCCUGUCGCCUGAGAUCGUGGAGCUCAGCGAGCCGCUGCAGGUUGUUCGAUAUGGUGAGGGGGGCCACUACCAUGCCCACGUGGACAGUGGGCCUGUGUACCCAGAGACCAUCUGCUUCCAUACCAAGCUGGUAGCCAACGAGUCUGUACCCUUCGAGACCUCCUGCCGGCAAGUAUCUCCCAACUGGGGGCUGCCUUCAAUCCUCAGACCAGGAACACCCAUGACACAGGCACAGCCCUGCACUGUGGGCAUGCCCCUUGGCAUGGGGCCAGGAGAUCACUGGGUUAUCCCGGUCAGUGAUGCCCUCACCUCUCCCCACAAGUUAUUUACCAAAUGGCUGGAAAGGGGUGGCUACUGGCCAUUGUGUCCACUGGAGUCAACACAGACUGAAGUACCCACAGACACCAAAACUUGCCCCCUGAGUUCUGAAGCAAGGGGCAAGGCUGGGCCCCUGGCUUGUCCUGCCCAUUCCUCCAGGUGUUGAUCUUGAUUCCACUUAGAGAAGCUGAAGCUGUGCCUCCCUCCCCUGUCAAGGCAGUUCUUUCUUCUUCAGGUGGCUGUUCUGGCCCAGCCCCUUCUGAUCCCCAAGGAGCCCUUCAGCGUGCCCUGUUGCUUCUGCUAGCCUACCUUUCCCUGCCAGGCCCUUGCUCAGGGCCAUGGCAUUUAACUAAGUGCACCUGUGAUCUUGGCCAAAAAACCAUUGCAACUCACAGUAUGAGACUGGGUUUCUGGGAAGGAGGGGCUAGGGACAUUUUGGCACGGGCCUGCCCUAUUGUCUCCCAUCCUAGUCUGUCCUGGUCCCUGGCAACAGGAACCUGGGCAGCUUAUCCUGCCCACAGGUAAGCCCCUGGGAGCAUCCACAACUGGGGACCUGCUCAGUGGCCCCCCUGCCUUACAGCUACAUGACAGUGCUGUUUUAUUUGAACAACGUCACUGGUGGGGGCGAGACUGUUUUCCCUGUAGCAGAUAACAGAACCUACGAUGAAAUGAGUCUGAUUCAGGAUGACGUGGACCUCCGUGACACACGGAGGCACUGUGACAAGGGAAACCUGCGUGUCAAGCCCCGACAGGGCACAGCAGUCUUCUGGUACAACUACCUGCCUGAUGGGCAAGGUUGGGUGGGUGACGUAGACGACUACUCGCUGCACGGGGGCUGCCUGGUCACGCGCGGCACCAAGUGGAUUGCCAACAACUGGAUUAAUGUGGACCCCAGCCGAGCGCGGCAAGCGCUGUUCCAACAGGAGAUGGCCCGCCUGGCCCGAGAAGGGGGCACCGACUCACAGCCCGAGUGGGCUCUGGACCGGGCCUACCGCGAUGCGCGCGUGGAGCUCUGAGGGAAGAGUUAGCCCCGGUUCCCAGCCGCGGGUCGCCAGUUGCCCAAGAUCGGGGGUCCGGCUGUCCUUCUGUCCUGUUGCAGACUAAAGGUCUGGCCAAUGUCUUGCCCCACCCCGCCAGCCGCGAUACGGCGCAGUUCCUAUAUUCAUGUUAUUUAUUGUGUACUGACCCCAUCUGCCCCGUCAAAUAAAAAAACCACAAGGUUCCA